rnacentral:tRNA from 1 species
GGGGAUGUAGCUCAGUGACAGAGCACCUGCUUGGCAUGCGGUAGACCCUGGAUUCGAUCCUCAGCACUGCCC